UGUAUGGUCGAUUGAAGUUGACUCAAGUUUCGACGCUCAUUAAAACUCGAACGAUAGGAAAGCUUUCAACUUGACCUAGAGUUAGGGGACCUCUAUGAUCUUAAUUCAUGCUCAAAUAGGUCCCCACAUAAUUGAUUAAUAUACCAAAUUUUCAUAGGAUUUAAGGCUUUUGGAUCAUCUACACAUAGAAAUAACGAUUUUCGUUCUAGCCCCAAAUGCGAGGUGUUUC
rnacentral:lncRNA from 1 species